ACGAACGCUGGCGGCGCGCUUAACACAUGCAAGUCGAACGGUAACGGGCCUUCGGGUGCCGACGAGUGGCGAACGGGUGAGUAACGCGUAGAUACCUGUCCUAUGGUGGGGAAUAACGUUUAGAAAUGAACGCUAAUACCGCAUAAGCCCUACGGGGGAAAGAUUUAUCGCUGUUGGAUCGGCCCGCGUCCGAUUAGCUAGUUGGCGAGGUAACGGCUCACCAAGGCUAUGAUCGGUAGCUGGUCUGAGAGGACGAUCAGCCACACUGGGACUGAGACACGGCCCAGACUCCUACGGGAGGCAGCAGUGGGGAGUAUUGGACAAUGGGGGCAACCCUGAUCCAGCUAUGCCGCGUGGGUGAUGAAGGCCUUCGGGUUGUAAAGCCCUUUUGGCGGGGACGAUAAUGACGGUACCCGCAGAAUAAGCCCCGGCUAACUUCGU
rnacentral:rRNA from 1 species